GUGAAGAUUUUGUUUAAGGAAAUAAUUCCCCGCUUCAGUAUACCUGCGUGCAUUAGCUCAGACAAUGGACCACACUUUGUAGGUAAUAUUAACGGAGAACUCUGUUCCCAGCUUUGUAUUUGUCGGCAACUGCAUGGUGCUUCUCAUCCUCAGUCGGCUGGACUUGUUGAAUGUUUUAACCAGGCUCAAGACUAAACUUGCCAAAUUAAUGGCCGAGUCUGGCCUCUCCUGGUUAUGCUAAUCCCUGUGGCCUUAUUCCAGAUGCGAUCCAUAUCUGUGGGCAAGACACGACUGUCUCCAGCUGAGAGUCUCUCUGGUCACCCCCUCCAUACCCCUUGGAACGAUUCGGCUCCCUUCUCAGUCCACUUCCACCACAUGACCGAAGCAAUGAGUGGUUAUGUUCUUGCUCUAACUAGUGUUAUGCGUGCCUUUCACUCCCAGGAGCGUGCGGCCUACAGCGACGUUCCCUCCCUUUCAGCCUCGUCAUGGGUAUCACCUGGUUCGUUGGUGCUUGUCAAGAACUGGACUGGCAAAGUUCUCUAUCCUUGUUGGGAUGGCCCCUUCCAGGUUUUACUUCCCACCCCUACAGCGGUCACAGUCGUUGGGUGCUCAGCUUGGGUCCAACUGCACCAUUGUUCAACAUCCUGAUGGGGAAAGCUACUAAGUAUGGAUGCGACCAGGAAUGAUCAGAGAUUAUCCACCACCCAUGCUGAGGAGAUGUCAUCCAGUGCACCGGACCAGACGCCUUUGACGUGUGGAACGUGAUGAAGAUUGAUUAUUGCAAUGGACUCUUACAUCAGAAAGACCAGAUGGUCCAUCUGGACAGUAGAAAUCA